UGAAACUUGUGCAGCCUUACUGCUUUUGAGAGUUCUUAACUAAGUGGAAGUACUGUACUGAAUGCCUAUUAUAUACACAACGGUUGGUGGUGGUAUCUCACGGAGCCUCGAACUCCCACGCUUCCCCCACUCUUACAAAGAAAUGUUUCUUGGGAGAGCACAUGCAAGAGGCAACGGGAAAAAGCGCACGUAGGCGACUCUUCCUUGGAUUUCGGCAUGCAGGUGGUAUACUACCCAAAAAUAGCACAGAAGAGGAAAUACAUGCUCUCAGGAUGAACAAGGAACCCUAAGUUGACUUCACUCAGCAUAAUACCUUCCAGUUCCAUCCACGUUGAAGCAAAUG